rnacentral:rRNA from 1 species
UACGGGGGGGGUAAGCGUUGUUCGGAAUUACUGGGCGUAAAGGGCUCGUAGGCGGCCAACUAAGUCAUACGUGAAAUCCCUCGGCUUAACCGGGGAACUGCGUCUGAUACUGAGUGGCUUGAGUGCAGGAGAGGAAUGCGGAAUUCCAGGUGUAGCGGUGAAAUGCGUAGAUAUCUGGAGGAACACCGGUGGCGAAGGCGGCAUUCUGGACUGUAACUGACACUGAGGAACGAAAGCCAGGGGAGCAAACGGG